rnacentral:rRNA from 1 species
UGAGUUCAAGAGUACGUGAACCGUUCAGGGGUAAACCUGAGAAACCCGAAAGGUCGAAUGGGGAAAUUCAUUCGCGUUUCGACAUCGGAGUAGAGCGAUUAUCGCGACGGAUAGUAGAACUUUUGUUUUACUGCUGCGCUUUUCGUUCGUCUUGCCGUUGUCGAACGCGUGCACUUUUCCUCUAGUAGGACGUCGCGAUCCGUUGGGUGUUUGUCUAAAAAUCGGAGCGGUGCCCACGAGACAUUUACACGUCACGUGGACCUCCGAAUUUUCGACAAACUCGCUCGACGGUAUACUAAAGGCGCGAGGCCGCUAGUGUUGUGCGUGCGAAAAUCGCGUGCAACAGAAUUAGCGUUCGGCCCGUAGCAAGCACGUACCGUUUGACGGCGAUCGGACCUAGCGCCGAUUCUGUCGCGGGACGACUGUUGGUUNACGGUGUUCUCGAACAGACCUCGUUGAAACGCCAAUCGGCGACGCUAUAGCUUUGGGU